GGCGUUGACUUGAUUACAUCAGCUACAUUUCAAUUUAAUAGUCUUUGUGAGUCAUUUUACAUGUAUGCUGGUAAUAAACAUAAGACCCUCAUUUCAUACAAGCAAAUGAGUUGCAUUUUAUUCUAGUAAGGCUUAAUGGCAAAAUAAAUUAGUAAAAUAAAAUAAAUCUUUUAUUUAUUUAUUCAAUUUUAUCAAAAACUUCUAUUCUUAAUAAUUUUGUCUUAAUUUUAAAAAUUAAUUAAAAU
rnacentral:misc_RNA from 1 species